rnacentral:lncRNA from 1 species
UUAAUUGUUUUGAUAGCGUGUUUAGUUAGCAGGAGCUUUUUGCAUACAAGCCUUUUGAUUCCAUUGAAGGGCAAUCUUAAUGUCUUGAUUGUCUUCUAACACUCUUUAGUUUCAUGAUCUCUGGUCCGACGUAUCCUACUAAACUUUGGUUUGCGAGCUUUCAAGGUUGGAACAUUCAUUUCAGCCAUCACCUUUGAGGAAAUAGUAGUAACAAGUUGGAUACUUUCUUCACAUUCACAACUUUCUUUACGCUUGUCAAACCAUAUGCAUGGCUGACUUGGUAAUUUCUACCCCAACAUCGGGUCUUUUUUCUAUUCCUUAUAGCUUCCCUAAUUGCUCAUGCUCUGUUUCCUUCCUACUUUCUAAUACUUCUUCUACGAGGAUCUCAGCUUGAAUGCAGUUGACGAGUUGAUGAUAUGAAGUAAGGUUUUUUUCGGAUAUCCAUCCAGAAGGGAGUUAAUAUUUAUAGCCCAUUCCACAGAGCGUCCUUUGUCAUUUUAUCCUACAUGCUUGCGCUCGCAGUGAACUCAAUGCUAAAGCGAGCGACGUAAUUCUUUAGUGACUCCCUUCUUCCUGCCUUAUAUCAUUUGGCCUAGUGGUGGGGGCUUCUCCAACUUUUUUCCAGUUUUAAAGGCUUGUUUCAGCUGUGGCCAGCUUCUGAUUGAUCAUGUGGCAAGCCUACUAUACUAGCUUUUUACUGAGCCUAUGAGAAGAGAGAGAGUAAUGAGAUGUCAAGUUUUUUUAGGGAUUUUAUUAGACGUAGCUUGUAUUUGAC